rnacentral:rRNA from 1 species
GACGAACGCUGGCGGCGUGCUUAACACAUGCAAGUCGAACGAUGAUGCCCAGCUUGCUGGGUGGAUUAGUGGCGAACGGGUGAGUAACACGUGAGUAACCUGCCCCUGACUCUGGGAUAAGCGCUGGAAACGACGUCUAAUACUGGAUAUGACUGCCGGCCGCAUGGCCUGGUGGUGGAUAGAUUUUUUGGUUGGGGAUGGACUCGCGGCCUCUCAGCUUGUUGGUGAGGUAAUGGCUCACCAAGGCGACGACGGGUAGCCGGCCUGAGAGGGUGACCGGCCACACUGGGACGGAGACACGGCCCAGACUCCUACGGGAGGCAGCAGUGGGGAAUAUUGCACAAUGGGCGAAAGCCUGAUGCAGCAACGCCGCGUGAGGGAUGACGGCCUUCGGGUUGUAAACCUCUUUCAGUAGGGAAGAAGCGAAAGUGACGGUACCUGCAGAAAAAGCACCGGCUAACUACGUGCCAGCCGCCGCGGUAA